rnacentral:rRNA from 1 species
GUGUCAGCAGCCGCGGUAAUACGGAGGGGGCAAGCGUUGUUCGGAAUUACUGGGCGUAAAGCGCGCGUAGGCGGUUGGGUAAGUCAGAUGUGAAAUCCCUCAGCUCAACUGGGGAACUGCGUCUGAUACUGCUCGACUUGAGUCCGAUAGGGGAUGGCAGAAUUCCCGGUGUAGCGGUGGAAUGCGUAGAUAUCGGGAGGAAUACCGAUGGCGAAGGCGGCCAUCUGGGUCGGUACUGACGCUGAGGCGCGAAAGCUAGGGGAGCAAACAGGAUUAGAUACCCUGGUAGUCCUAGCUGUAAACGAUGACCACUUGGUGUUGCGGGUUUCUACCCCCGCAGUGCCGGAGCUAACGCGUUAAGUGGUCCGCCUGGGGAGUACGGUCGCAAGGCUGAA